CUGAGAGAGUACGGCGGCCAUUUGUCCCAACUGUACCUGAGAAUAAAAAUCAUCAAAUAAAAAUAAUACUGUGGAUUUAUUUCACCGGUCUGGGUGGAGUACACUGUAAAACCGGAUACGUUCAUUUAACUCAAAAAAAAAAACCCUGAGGAAACGAAUGACCUCAAAACGUUUAAGCUGAUAAAUCAAUUUCCGAAUACACUUAAACUUAACAAGUUCGAGCUCAAUUUUUGUUCUAUUUAAGUGUACUUGGCUUAAAGAAAUUGAUUUAUCAACUUAAAAAUUUCGAGGUAAUUAUUAUUAUUAUUAUUAUUAUUAUUAUUUUGAGUUAAAUGAACUUAUCCGGUUUUACAGUGUAGGUUAAACCUAUAAAUAAAUAAAUAAAUAAAUAAAUACUUUUACAAAUAAAGAACACAAAAACAGGCAAAUGUACUCACGUGCUAGCAAGAAUUAUAAAUUCACUCUAAAGAUCCUCCAACCCUUUACUCUCUCUCACACACACACACACACACACACACUCUCACACACACGCACAAAAUAUCUUCCAGAUAAAUAAUGAAAUCAAAUACACACGUUUUCAUUACUCGACACGUGUUAUACUGAAAUAAUUAGCAUUAAACGCGUGUUUCUGAGUUACUGGUUUAUAAAAAAAUAAUUAAAAAAAUAAAAAAUAGUAAAUGAUUUAUGAACGAUUAUAUUAACUAAUCCAUUAUUAUUAUUAUUAUUAUUAUUAUUAUUAUUAUUAUUAUUAUUAUUAUAAAGAAAGACUGAAAAGCAGAGAUCUAAUGAGAAAUAAAUCCAGUGAACAGAGUUCGGACUUCGGGUGGAGGAUGAAGAGUCGAGAUAGCUUCUUUUCUUUUCUUUUCUUUCUUUUCUUUAUUUUUUUAAUAAACAAACUAAUAAAUACAUACAUAAAUAAAUAAAUAACAAAGUCAGGCUCCAGAAUGUUUUUAUAUAGAGCAUUCACACAAAAAGAAAUAAUAAUAAUAAAAAAUCAUAUUAUUAACAUUAACCUAGUCUACAUGUAUAUGUGUGUGUGUGUGUGUGUGUUACACACCUGUGUUGAGAGAUGCAUGGUCAGCACCAGCACCACGAUACACGCCGUUAGAACUUUAAUCAUGAUGAAGUUUCCUCUGUUCUCUGGACACACACACACACACACACACACACACACUUGAAGAUCUGCACCUACUUGAGGUUAUUGCACAGCAGAG
ensembl:lncRNA